rnacentral:rRNA from 1 species
GACGAACGCUGGCGGCGUGCCUAAUACAUGCAAGUCGAGCGGACAGAAGGGAGCUUGCUCCCGGAAGUUAGCGGCGGACGGGUGAGUAACACGUGGGCAACCUACCCUGUAGAUCGGGAUAACAUCGAGAAAUCGGUGCUAAUACCGGAUAAUCAUUUGAAGUGCAUGCUUCGAAUGUAAAAGAUGGCUCCGGCUAUCACUACGGGAUGGGCCCGCGGCGCAUUAGCUAGUUGGUAAGGUAAUGGCUUACCAAGGCAACGAUGCGUAGCCGACCUGAGAGGGUGAACGGCCACACUGGGAAUGAUACACGGCCCAGACUCCUGCGGGAGGCAGCAGUAGGGAAUCUUCCGCAAUGGACGAAAGUCUGACGGAGCAACGCCGCGUGAGUGAUGAAGGUUUUCGGAUCGUAAAGCUCUGUUGUUAGGGUAGAACAAGUGCCGUUUGAAUAAGGCGGCACCUUGACGGUACCUAACCAGAAAGCCACGGCUAACUACGUGCCAGCCGCCGCCGUAACAC